rnacentral:rRNA from 1 species
AACGAACGCUGGCGGCAUGCCUAACACAUGCAAGUCGAACGAGACCUUCGGGUCUAGUGGCGCACGGGUGCGUAACGCGUGGGAACCUGCCCUUAGGUUCGGAAUAACUCCCCGUAAGGGGUGCUAAUACCGGAUAAUGUCUUCGGACCAAAGAUUUAUCGCCUUUGGAUGGGCCCGCGUUGGAUUAGCUAGUUGGUAGGGUAAAAGCCUACCAAGGCGACGAUCCAUAGCUGGUCUGAGAGGAUGACAAGCCACACUGGGACUGAGACACGGCCCAGACUCCGACGGAAGGCAGCAGUGGGGAAUAUUGGACGAUGGGCGAAAGCCUGAUCCAGCAAUGCCGCGUGAGUGAGGAAGGCCUUAGGGUUGUAAAGCUCUUUUACCCGGGAUGAUAAUGACAGUACCGGGAGAAUAAGCACCGGCUAACUCCGUG